AUCAUGUGACGUAUGAACUUAGUAGCACAUAUAUUUUGUAAAAGUAGCACGUGUUAUUUAUGGGAGCCUACGGAGGUAUGGUGUACCAAAAGGAGCAGUUUUAUGCCCUGACUUAUUUGUUUUGCUAUGGUGCUUACCAUAUGUUAUAUAUUUUAGCUUCUUCCGCCAGACGACUUUUACCUGGUGAUGAUGUCACAACCCGGAAGUACAAUACCCGAGGUUCACUUGUCUUCACUCGCCUGGAUGUGAUUUUCCCAGCGCAGAGCUUUCGUCCCAUGGUUGUACCAUAAACCGCAAAGACGAUGAUUUUUGUUAUCCUCUGAAGUCGGCUCAGGGAUGCAAUUUCUGACAAAUCAAAGGCUUGACGGGUGUUCUUUUAUGACGAACAGAGGUGUAUGAAAGAUGAAAAAAAGAGUAAAAAAAAUCAACAUCAAUGGAAUUGAAAAUAUAUGUUAAAAUGACUGGCGAAUGACAUACUAGUAAUUGACGUAGCCCUAUUAUAUUCGAAAAGCUGUAGUACGAGAAGUAAAGAACAUCCUCUAACGGAAUUACCACAGGCUAAACUAGGCUUCCGUACCAAACACGACUAUUGUCGGUUGCUAUUUGAAGGGACACGUGUUCAUCAUAACUACUCUGGAAAAAUGAGAAAUGACUGAAUCGCGUCAACGAAAUGUUCUGAUUAAAGGAGCUUUAGAUGUGCGCUGGGAAAGAACAAGAGUGAAUGCAGCUUAAUUUUAAUUACCACCCAGUAGAAAGGGACGUCGAUUGAAUCUACACUACUGAAUUGAAAAAGGUUCAGGAUUUGGUAACGACUAAUGUUCAGAUUUUGCUGGCAAAUCUUAGUGCAUCCACUUACAUAUUAGAACUCUUUGUGGACUUGAACAGUAGUAGAACAAUUUUACUUGCAAUGUAAAUUAUUUUAGUUCUCUAAAACUGUUAAGUUGUUGAUAAUGUUGCUGUGUAAAAGAUUAUGUAAAUUUGGUAAUUUUACUAAUUUUUUUAUUCAAACCCUUACACAGUUGAAGCCAUUGUGACACAAACAUUUGCACAUACACUUCAAAGACAUAGCAAUUACUCAUUUCUCUUGUUAUCAGCUAAUGUUAUAUAUUUACACAAAUCAAUGAAAGCAGAUCUAUUGAUUGUAGUAAUUCUAAAAAAUAUACAUUCUUGGAUGAGUAUAAUAAUAACGUUUCAUGAACUCUGGACGUAAGUCUUUAUAAAUUACAUUUAAGAUCGCAUAACUGACAAAACGCGCUACAUAUUGUAUGCCCUAAUUUUCUUUGAUCAAGAAGAAGUGUACAUCUAUACGUCGCAUUCUCAACAAUUGGCAAUAUUUAGAUUCUGAAUGGAUGACAGCUUUGUGCGGAAAAAAAUGUCAAAGAUAUACAUCUUUUUGUAUGAUGAAAAUGAUAAAGCGGUUGAAGAGGAGAUGUACCGUCUAUGCUUCAAAAUUAACAAAAAUCAUAACAUAAUAACUCUCUGGAAAUCAUAGAACUGGAAAAUAUUGAGGCUUUGCACAGCUACACUUCUUAUAACUCCGAAAUUUCAUUACAAUCUGACAAAAGAUUGAUACAGUUUCAAUGUCUUAGUAUAAUCUAUUAAAGUUUGUAUUAUCCGUUAGAAGCAUGUGCUGUUAAGGCCUAUGCUACUUUGAAAUUAUGAAUUAGGUGGGUGGGGUACAUGAUAUUAUUUCUGAUUAAUUUCGAAGUUACUGUAAAACAAACGUUAUUCCAAUGUGACAAUACAUCAAAACCAUGAAGUGCUGAACUCUUACUUUAAUUUAAAAAGUAAAGUGGGAAAAGUUAUCAGUAUGUUCGUGUCACAAUUUUCGGGGUAAGUAUUCUAUGUCAUCGUGCAUAACUGCGAAAAAAUAUAACAUACAUAAUAAAGCUAAACUAUCCGUGUAAAUGAGUUGAGAGCUAUUUUUCUAUUUCCGUUUAUUACUUUUCUAAAAAAACACAUUACAAUUUACCAGGUGUUGGCAAAAUUUGUCAUUUUUGUGCACAUGCCUUUACACAUUAAAGAAGUCCGAACUAUAAGUAUGGUGUGCGAGAGGGGCCUGAGCGCUUACGUAGUGCUCAUUUACAGGAAUUGUACUGCUCAUAUAUAUAUAUGAAUUUUAUAGGUAGAUAAAAUUAUUUAUGUCAUUGUACAUUUGGAGCAAAUCGGUCCUAUUCUGAAAUAUGUUAAUUUAUAUACUACGGUAAAAGCCAAUCAAUGAAUUCCUUUUAUACCGUUGAACCAAUCGUGAAAUGGCAUCUUCCUUCUUCGUCAGCAUUCAAGAGUGAAUAGCAGGCUUCUUUCUUUAAUUUUAUUUUGGCUAAUUUCUGGUUUUAUUUUACCACCACAUGCCAUUCCGCCUCCUCUUUCAAGUGACAAUUUUCUAAUUUUGAAAGAUUUCUCUUAAUAUGCAAAUUCAUCUACAUUUCUUGAUAUGCUUUCGGUGGUUAUAUCCGCCCUAAUAUGUGAAUAUAUAUAUUUGUUAUGGUAUUGGACUGUAACUCCAUUCAGAUUUGAGAA